rnacentral:misc_RNA from 1 species
UUUCACCAGUAAAUUAUCUUUCUGCAAGCACAAAGGUGUAGUGAGAUGAUUUUGUCUCUCAUGAAUGUUUUUGCAUGCUAUAUGUGGUGAGGAUGUAACUAGAUAGACCAAUCAAUCAAAAAUAAAUUUGUUCCAUGAUCCACUUAGUUCUAAAAAGAGUUGAGGGAAAACAAAGUCAAUUUCAAAUGGUAGGUGUAAGGUGAUUUACUCAGUUGAUAAAAGAUGUGAAUAUAUUUGAUCACUUUUUG